rnacentral:rRNA from 1 species
CCUACGGGUGGCAGCAGUGGGGAAUAUUGCACAAUGGGCGCAAGCCUGAUGCAGCCAUGCCGCGUGUGUGAAGAAGGCCUUCGGGUUGUAAAGCACUUUCAGCGGGGAGGAAGGCGGUGAGGUUAAUAACCUCAUCGAUUGACGUUACCCGCAGAAGAAGCACCGGCUACCUCCGUGCCAGCAGCCGCGGUAAUACGGAGGGUGCAAGCGUUAAUCGGAAUUACUGGGCGUAAAGCGCACGCAGGCGGUCUGUCAAGUCGGAUGUGAAAUCCCCGGGCUCAACCUGGGAACUGCAUUCGAAACUGGCAGGCUAGAGUCUUGUAGAGGGGGGUAGAAUUCCAGGUGUAGCGGUGAAAUGCGUAGAGAUCUGGAGGAAUACCGGUGGCGAAGGCGGCCCCCUGGACAAAGACUGACGCUCAGGUGCGAAAGCGUGGGGAGCAAACAGGAUUAGAUACCCGAGUAGUC